rnacentral:rRNA from 1 species
ACGUACACUCCUACGGGAGGCAGCAGUGGGGAAUAUUGGACAAUGGGCGCAAGCCUGAUCCAGCCAUGCCGCGUGAGUGAUGGAGGCCCUAGGGUUGUAAAGCUCUUUCACCGGUGAAGAUAAUGACGGUAACCGGAGAAGAAGCCCCGGCUAACUUCGUGCCAGCAGCCGCGGUAAUACGAAGGGGGCUAGCGUUGUUCGGAUUUACUGGGCGUAAAGCGCACGUAGGCGGACUAUUAAGUCAGGGGUGAAAUCCCGGGGCUCAACCCCGGAACUGCCUUUGAUACUGGUAGUCUUGAGUUCGAGAGAGGUGAGUGGAAUUCCGAGUGUAGAGGUGAAAUUCGUAGAUAUUCGGAGGAACACCAGUGGCGAAGGCGGCUCACUGGCUCGAUACUGACGCUGAGGUGCGAAAGCGUGGGGAGCAAACAGGAUUAGAAACCCGAGUAGUCCCAUG